CCUACGGGGGGCUGCAGUGGGGAAUAUUGCACAAUGGGCGCAAGCCUGAUGCAGCCAUGCCGCGUGUGUGAAGAAGGCCUUCGGGUUGUAAAGCACUUUCAGCGGGGAGGAAGGCGGUGGGGUUAAUAACCUCAUCGAUUGACGUUACCCGCAGAAGAAGCACCGGCUAACUCCGUGCCAGCAGCCGCGGUAAUACGGAGGGUGCAAGCGUUAAUCGGAAUUACUGGGCGUAAAGCGCACGCAGGCGGUCUGUCAAGUCGGAUGUGAAAUCCCCGGGCUCAACCGGGGAACUGCAUUCGAAACUGGCAGGCUAGAGUCUUGUAGAGGGGGGUAGAAUUCCAGGUGUAGCGGUGAAAUGCGCAGAGAUCUGGAGGAAUACCGGUGGCGAAGGCGGCCCCCUGGACAAAGACUGACGCUCAGGUGCGAAAGCGUGGGGAGCAAACAGGAUUAGAUACCCGAGUAGUC
rnacentral:rRNA from 1 species